AUGAACGCUGGCGGCGUGCCUAAUCCCUGCAAGUCGAGCGAACGGACGAGAAGCUUGCUUCUCUGAUGUUAGCGGCGGACGGGUGAGUAACACGUGGAUAACCUACCUAUAAGACUGGGAUAACUUCGGGAAACCGGAGCUAAUACCGGAUAAUAUUUUGAACCGCAUGGUUCAAAAGUAAAAGACGGUCUUGCUGUCACUUAUAGAUGGAUCCGCGCUGCAUUAGCUAGUUGGUAAGGUAACGGCUUACCAAGGCAACGAUGCAUAGCCGACCUGAGAGGGUGAUCGGCCACACUGGAACUGAGACACGGUCCAGACUCCUACGGGAGGCAGCAGUAGGGAAUCUUCCGCAAUGGGCGAAAGCCUGACGGAGCAACGCCGCGUGAGUGAUGAAGGUCUUCGGAUCGUAAAACUCUGUUAUUAGGGAAGAACAUAUGUGUAAGUAACUGUGCACAUCUUGACGGUACCUAAUCAGAAAGCCACGGCUAACUACGUG
rnacentral:rRNA from 1 species